UUGCAUUUUAUAUCUGAAUGGAGAAGGUC
rnacentral:piRNA from 1 species